rnacentral:tRNA from 1 species
GCAUCACUAGCUCAGCUGGUAGAGCGUAACCUUGCCAAGGUUGAGGUCACGCCUAGUUCAUAAAAGCAGGGAACCUCGUGUGUCUCUCCA